rnacentral:rRNA from 1 species
UACGGAGGGUGCAAGCGUUGUCCGGAAUCACUGGGCGUAAAGGGCGCGUAGGCGGCUCAUGAAGGCUGUGGUGAAAGUCCGGGGCUCAACCUCGGAUCGGCCGUGGCGACUCGUGGGCUGGAGCACUGUAGAGGCGGGUGGAAUUCCGGGUGUAGCGGUGGAAUGCGUAGAGAUCAGCAGGAACACCCGUGGCGAAGGCGGCCCCCUGGGCCGUACCUGACGCUGAGGCGCGAAGGCUAGGGGAGCGAACGGG